rnacentral:sRNA from 1 species
UCCCGUUGGCGACGCCGGCGAGUAUUGC